rnacentral:rRNA from 1 species
CGAAGGCUUCGGCCUUAGUGGCGCACGGGUGCGUANCGCGUGGGAAUCUGCCCUCAGGUUCGGAAUAACAGCGAGAAAUUGCUGCUAAUACCGGAUGAUAUCGCGAGAUCAAAGAUUUAUCGCCUGAGGAUGAGUCCGCGUAGGAUUAGCUAGUUGGUGUGGUAAAGGCGCACCAAGGCGACGAUCCUUAGCUGGUCUGAGAGGAUGAUCAGCCACACUGGGACUGAGACACGGCCCAGACUCCUACGGGAGGCAGCAGUGGGGAAUAUUGGACAAUGGGCGAAAGCCUGAUCCAGCAAUGCCGCGUGAGUGAUGAAGGCCUUACGGUUGUAAAGCUCUUUUACCCGGGAUGAUAAUGACAGUACCGGGAGAAUAAGCUCCGGCUAACUCCGUGCCAGCAGCCGCGGUAAUACGGAGGGAGCUAGCGUUAUUCGGAAUUACU